rnacentral:rRNA from 1 species
UAGGGAAUCUUCCGCAAUGGGCGAAAGCCUGACGGAGCAACGCCGCGUGAGUGAUGAAGGUCUUCGGAUAGUAAAACUCUGUUAUUAGGGAAGAACAAAUGUGUAAGUAACUAUGCACGUCUUGACGGUACCUAAUCAGAAAGCCACGGCUAACUACGUGCCAGCAGCCGCGGUAAUACGUAGGUGGCAAGCGUUAUCCGGAAUUAUUGGGCGUAAAGCGCGCGUAGGCGGUUUUUUAAGUCUGAUGUGAAAGCCCACGGCUCAACCGUGGAGGGUCAUUGGAAACUGGAAAACUUGAGUGCAGAAGAGGAAAGUGGAAUUCCAUGUGUAGCGGUGAAAUGCGCAGAGAUAUGGAGGAACACCAGUGGCGAAGGCGACUUUCUGGUCUGUAACUGACGCUGAUGUGCGAAAGCGUGGGGAUCAAACAGG